UGGAUCGAUGAUGACUACUGGUGGUGUAUGAGUUCAUAUAAGAUGAAUAUGUGUCUGGAACUCUAAGGUCCAA
rnacentral:snoRNA from 1 species